UUGCUUUGAUAUUGUGAGGAUAGUACUCUACUUAUUUGUCAACCAUGAAAAUUUAAAUGAAUGGAUAAGUGGCUAUAAAACUACGUAGGCUAUCCAUGGGGUACUAAACAACUUAUUUUAUUAUAGAAAUAUAAACUGUUUGAAUAUAUGGAUAUACAGUGAAACCUGGCUAAACCGAAUCCUACUUAAACAGAAAACCUGUAUAAGACAAACAUUUUCUAAAGCACUGUCAUAUCAAAUUGUAUGCGUUGUGGACCUGAUAAAAACAGAACAUUGGCUUAAACCGAACAAAAUCUUA
rnacentral:lncRNA from 1 species